CCUACGGUAUGCAGCAGUGGGGAAUAUUGCACAAUGGGGGAAACCCUUAUGCAGCGACGCCGCGUGAGUGAAGAAGUAUUUCGGUAUGUAAAGCUCUGUCAGCAGGGAAGAAAAUGACGGUACCUGACCAAGAAGCCCCGGCUAACUACGUGCCAGCAGCCGCGGUAAUACGUAGGGGGCAAGCGUUAUCCGGAUUUACUGGGUGUAAAGGGAGCGUAGACGGCAGGGCAAGUCUGGAGGGAAAGGCGGGGGCUCAACCCCCGGACUGCUGUGGAAACUGCCAGGCUGGAGUGCAGGAGAGGUAAGUGGAAGUCCUGGUGUAGAGGUGAAAUGCGUAGAUAUUAGGAGGAACACCAGUGGCGAAGGCGGCUUACUGGACUGUAACUGACGUUGAGGCUCGAAAGCGUGGGGAGCAAACAGGAUUAGAUACCCCUGUAGUC
rnacentral:rRNA from 1 species